UCUGCGAGGGGAAGACUUUGCGGCUGUCUUGUGCAGACGGCAAGCUGCUUCUCAUCGACGAUGCUUUCUACGGACGGAGGACCAAAUAUGGCCGCUGCCGCUGUAAAUGGAAAUUGAUCAGCAAGCGGUGUAACACCAGGUGCUGGAAAACCUACGACAGCCCAAACUCCGCCAGUCCCCUAUUUGUUGUGAGGAGGAGUUGCCAGGGCCUGCAGAGGUGCGCUGUGAGUGCAAGAAACAAAUUGUUUGGUGACCCCUGCCGACGCACGUUGAAGUACUUGGAGGUCAAAUACCAAUGUGAAGAAAAGCAAGGUGGAAUCACGUUCGACAAACAAAAUAUUUGUGGCUGACAUAAAAACAAACGAAUCCAAGUCUUCAACAUAAAGGGAAUUUUCCUACGUUUCCCGACAGAAAACAUAAAACCAUAGGACAUAUCUGCAAACAUCAACGAUUCCCUAUGGGUCGUUCUACUCGGAGGCCGUCAUAAUAAUUAAUGUUAUGAAAAUGCCGUCAAUCUGUACAGCAAAGAGGGACAUAAAUUCAAUUUAAUAAUAAAUGAUAAUCAUUAUAUUUCAGCCAUACAUAGUAUGGUGAAAUAUAUUGUAUUCG